CCUACGGGAGGCAGCAGUGGGGAAUAUUGGGCAAUGGGCGCAAGCCUGACCCAGCAACGCCGCGUGAAGGAUGAAGGCUUUCGGAUUGUAAACUUCUGUCGCGAGGGACGAAGAAUGACGGUAUCUCGUAAGAAAGCCUCGGCUAACUACGUGCCAGCAGCCGCGGUACUACGUAGGGGGCAAGAGUCGUCGGGAAUGACGGGGCGUAAAGGGAGUGUAGGCGGCUCAUCAAGUUAGAUGUGAAAUCUCGCGGCUUAACCGCGGAACUGCAUCUAAAACUGGUAAGCUGGAGUGCAGGAGAGGUGAGUGGAAUUCCUAGUGUAGCGGUGAAAUGCGUAGAUAUUAGGAGGAACACCAGGGGCGAAGGCGGCUCACUGGACUGUAACUGACGCUGAGGCUCGAAAGCGUGGGGAGCAAACAGGAUUAGAUACCCUAGUAGUC
rnacentral:rRNA from 1 species